AAGGCAGAGUGGAGAGAUGAAAAUUGUUUAUUCUUUCCCAUGUGAUGAGUAAAGCACCUGUUUGCUAAUCUAUGUGCAUAAUUAACUUGCCGAUAUUAAUACCUUUUCGAUACUUAAUAGUUACGCGUAGCAGCCUGCAUUGAAGUGCUUGAACUAUAAACUUACAGGCUAAGUGUAACCACGAAGGUUCGGACAGAAUUCUAACCCCUCUAAUUCUGUUAUCAUUAGUAAUAUAGAGUAAACCGGUCAUCACCUUACUGAAGACGGUAUUGAAUAUUUGUUGAGCUAGAUUGGAACUAAAAGGACCAGUUUGUAAGUAGAUCGAACGUUGAAAUGAGAUUCUCAAACUAAUAAAAUCUUCCCAUAGCUUUAAGAAUUCAGCACAGUAACCCCUGGUGCGAUUCUAUAUCGAAGUCCGAAGCUUCUA